rnacentral:lncRNA from 1 species
GAAUAAAAGAGAUUUUAAGUUUAAUCAGGUAUAAACUAAGGCAACAGUAGUAUACCACUGUUCAAAAGUCAUAAAUAGAUUUAGAAAAAAACAUUCUGGGUAAAAACUUAAACCGACGGAAAAACAACAAUUAUAAGAGAAAAAGACGAAACAACAGGACAUUGAAGUGCAACAAACCCAAAGGACAAUGCAACACAUAGAGAAACGCACUAUUAGAUAACAACUGCAAUAUUCUUGAAUUGGUACUUGACAUUUUAAGAACAAAACAAUUUUAACCAAACCUCGUACUUUAUGGCAAUGUUAAAAAAUCCCGCUACAAUUGCAACAUUACACGACGGAAAUACAGUACAAAUGAAUGCAAGAACAUCUAAGACAGAGAAAUACAUAAAGAAAUAAUAUAAAAGUACAUUUCGAAAUGCUAACCUCAGAAUAACAACAAAUAACUAAAAUUAAUUUAGAACAGUACACAACCAGAUGCUCCACAAGACGCCGC